CCCUCCCAUUGACGCAGCCACGCGUCGUUAACCAGAAACCUAUCCAGUUUACUUUUACACAUCCCAUUCGGCUUAUACCACGUAAAUUUGCGCCCUUGGGAUCUGAUUUCUGUAAGGCCGCUAUCACCGAUAAAGCUGUCGAAGGUUCUUGCAUCUGCUGCCCCAUAAGAAUCCCCACUUCCGACUCUUUCUUCCCGCUUCCGCACUGCGUUAAAAUCCCCCAUCACACAGACACCGCGAUCGGCAUUUUGUUCCACUA
rnacentral:lncRNA from 1 species